UUAUCAGGAGAGCAUAUGUAAGCCUACACGGGUAGGGGUAGGGUUGCCAGUGGGGGCCAACAGCUCAAAUUUGAAAUCUGGCGCAAGCCCGAGUUGUAAUUUGUAGAGGAUGCUUCUGGGUAGCGACCGAUCUAAGUUCCUUGGAACAGGACGUCAUAUAGGGUGAGAAUCCCGUAUGUGACCGGCCCGCACCCUUUACGUAGCUCCUUCGACGAGUCGAGUUGUUUGGGAAUGCAGCUCUUAUUGGGAGGUAAUUUUCUUCUAAAGCUAAAUACCGGCCAGAGACCGAUAGCGCACAAGUAGAGUGAUCGAAAGAUGAAAAGUACUUUGGAAAGAGAUUAAAAAGCACGUGAAAUUGUUGAAAGGUAAGCGGCUGCAACUAGACUUCGCGGCAGUGUUCCGCCGGUCUUCUGACCGGUUUAUUCUCUGUCGCGAGGCCAUCAUCGUCUGGCCCGCCGGAUAAGACCUUAGGAAUGUAGCUCACCUUCGGGGGAGUGUUAUAGCCUAGGGUGAUGCGGCGAGGCUCGGGCGAGGUCCGCGCUUCGGCAAGGAUGAUGGCGUAAUGGUUGUCGGCGGCCCGUCUUGAAACACGGACCAAGGAGUCUAACAUCUAUGCGAGUGUUCGGGUGUCAAACCCCUACGCGUAAUGAAAGUGAACGGAGGUGGGAACCGCAAGGUGCACCAUCGACCGAUCCUGAUGUCCUCGGAUGGAUUUGAGUAAGAGCAUAGCUGUUGGGACCCGAAAGAUGGUGAACUAUGCCUGAAUAGGGUGAAGCCAGAGGAAACUCUGGUGGAGGCUCGCAGCGGUUCUGACGUGCAAAUCGAUCGUCAAAUUUGGGUAUAGGGGCGAAAGACUAAUCGAACCAUCUAGUAGCUGGUUCCUGCCGAGUUC
rnacentral:rRNA from 1 species